rnacentral:rRNA from 1 species
GACGAACCGUGCAAACGUUGUUCGGAAUCACUGGGCUUAAAGGGCGCGUAGGCGGUCGAUCAAGUCAGGGGUGAAAUCCUGCAGCUUAACUGCAGAAGUGCCUUUGAUACUGGUCGUCUGGAGGGAGGUAGGGGUGUGUGGAACUCACAGUGGAGCGGUGAAAUGCGUUGAUAUUGUGAGGAACGCCGGAGGCGAAAGCGACGCACUGGACCUCUUCUGACGCUGAGGCGCGAAAGCUAGGGGAGCAAACGGG